rnacentral:sRNA from 1 species
ACCUCUGAGAAAUGGAAGAAAAUAUGAUCAUAGAUGGGAGGCGUUGACUAGUCUUGCAAGAUUUUAUGAGAAAUCUUUAGUGUUUGGUCCAAAAGACCAGUGUAUUUCCUGGGGGAUCCAUAGCGGGGUACAAAACAACCUUUACAGCACUGGGAUAUUUGUCUCCAGGUCAGAGAUAUGAUACACUGUGCUUUCUGAACAUCCGUUUUCUGUUCUCAUUGGACUAAACCCAAGUCAAACCCUUGACCUAAGACUGCUGCCCAAUCACAUGCUUGCAAGUUAUCCAUGUCAAUCAAGUCUGCGGGGCGGGAGCUCCGCCCACAGACUGAGGACAUUUCCUUUCGGGAGAUAACACCCAUGAUGUUCGGCGUAUGGCAUGCUGAAAACUCAUCGUCCAACAAUUAACUUACUGGGGGUUAGGGAGACUCUCUCUACAUAGUCUAAUCAUCCUGGAACUCACUAUCUAGAUCAAGCUAGCCUCAGACUCACAGAUAUGCACCUGCCUUUGCCUCCCAAGAGCUGGUAUUAAACCGAUGCCCCACCACACUGUGCCUUGUGAUAGCUAAUCUGGGUUGUCAACCUGACUAUAUCGGGAAUCAACUAAAACCCAAGCAGCUGGACACACACGUGUGAGAAGUUGAAAAUUUUCUUGAUUGGAUAGUUUGAGGUGGAAAGGCCUGCCCUGAAUCUAGACCUUUUGAGGCGAGAAGAUUCGGUCUAAAUCUGGGCCACACCUUCUGGUGGCAGCCUAUGUAAAAGGACACAGAAGGAGGAAAUCCUUUGCUUUAUGCCUGCUUGCCUUUACUCAAGUUGGCAAGUUCAUCUAUCCAGCUGCUGAGUUAUCUCUUCACUAGUUUGACAACCCACUUCUCUGGGAUUCAACAUGUAUUAAAGGCCAGCUAAGACAUCCGUCCUCAUGGACUGAACAAUUAUCGGAGUCCUGAAAUCUCUGUCAGGAGACAACCAUUAUUGGACUAGGCAGACCAUAGUCCAUUAGCCACUCAAGUAAAUCCCCUUUUAUAGCUACCUAUUCACACUCUGUGCUGUUCCUCUAGAGAACAUGGACUAACACUGGAGGGGAAAACCCACGUGGACCGAUAACGCUCUGAGUUCUCAAAGCUGACCUGGUAGCAAUUUGAAGUUUAGCAGUUCCACAGGAUCAUCCAAAGCAUGAGAGGCCGACUGCCUGGGGACCCAGCCUUCUCUGUGUGGCAAGAAGGUCAUGUGAUGCUAAGUCCUAAGGCAGUGGUUCUCAGCCUUAAUACAGCUUCUCAUAUUGUGUUGUCUCCCCCCAACCUUAAAGUCAUUUUCUUUGUUGCUCUUUCUUA